rnacentral:rRNA from 1 species
AUACGGAGGGUGCAAGCGUUAUUCGGAAUCACUGGGCGUAAAGGACGCGUAGGCGGGUUGGCAAGUCAGAUGUGAAAUCCUACAGCUUAACUGUAGAACUGCAUUUGAAACUGCUAACCUAGAGUAUGGGAGGGGGAGAUGGAAUUAGUGGUGUAGGGGUAAAAUCCGUAGAUAUCACUAGGAAUACCGAAAGCGAAGGCAAUCUUCUGGAACAGUACUGACGCUGGGGCGCGGAAGCGUGGGGAGCAAACAGGAUUAGAAACCCUAGUAGUCC